rnacentral:rRNA from 1 species
AUGAACGCUGGCGGCGUGCCUAAUACAUGCCAGUCGAGCGAACAGACGAGGAGCUUGCUCCUCUGACGUUAGCGGCGGACGGGUGAGUAACACGUGGAUAACCUACCUAUAAGACUGGGAUAACUUCGGGAAACCGGAGCUAAUACCGGAUAACAUGUUGAACCGCAUGGUUCAACAGUGAAAGACGGUCUUGCCGUCACUUAUAGAUGGAUCCGCGCCGCAUUAGCUAGUUGGUAAGGUAACGGCUUACCAAGGCAACGAUGCGUAGCCGACCUGAGAGGGUGACCGGCCACACUGGAACUGAGACACGGUCCAGACUCCUACGGGAGGCAGCAGUAGGGAAUCUUCCGCAAUGGGCGAAAGCCUGACGGAGCAACGCCGCGUGAGUGAAGAAGGUCUUCGGAUCGUAAAACUCUGUUAUUAGGGAAGAACAAAUGUGUAAGUAACUAUGCACGUCUUGACGGUACCUAAUCAGAAAGCCACGGCUAACUACGUG